GAUGAACGCUGGCGGCGUGCUUAACACAUGCAAGUCGAACGAAGCACUCUAUUUGAUUUCUUCGGAAUGAUUAUUUUGUGACUGAGUGGCGGACGGGUGAGUAACGCGUGGGUAACCUGCCUCAUACAGGGGGAUAACAGUUGGAAACGACUGCUAAUACCGCAUAAGCGCACAGGACCGCAUGGUCUGGUGUGAAAAACUCCGGUGGUAUGAGAUGGACCCGNGUCUGAUUAGCUAGUUGGUGGGUAACGGCCGUACCAAGGCGACGAUCAGUAGCCGACCUGAGAGGGUGACCGGCCACAUUGGGACUGAGACACGGCCCAAAACUCCUACGGGAGCAGCA
rnacentral:rRNA from 1 species